AGAGUUUGAUCAUGGCUCAGGAUGAACGCUAGCGGGAGGCCUAACACAUGCAAGUCGAACGGGAUUGAGAGCUUGCUCUCAUGAGAGUGGCGCACGGGUGAGUAACGCGUAUGCAACCUACCUUUAACUGAGGGAUAGCCCAUAGAAAUGUGGAUUAAUACCUCAUAGUUCUGAACUUCCGCAUGGGAAAUCAGAUAAAGCUCCGGCGGUUAAAGAUGGGCAUGCGUGACAUUAGCUAGUUGGUAAGGUAACGGCUUACCAAGGCUACGAUGUCUAGGGGUUCUGAGAGGAUGAUCCCCCACACUGGUACUGAGACACGGACCAGACUCCUACGGGAGGCAGCAGUGAGGAAUAUUGGUCAAUGGGCGCAAGCCUGAACCAGCCAUCCCGCGUGAAGGAUGAAGGCCCUAUGGGUCGUAAACUUCUUUUAUACACCAAGAAAAACACCCACGUGUGGGUGCCCGACGGUAGUGUAUGAAUAAGCAUCGGCUAACUCCGUGCCAGCAGCCGCGGUAAUACGGAGGAUGCAAGCGUUAUCCGGAUUCAUUGGGUUUAAAGGGUGCGUAGGCGGCUUUUUAAGUCAGUGGUGAAAUCUUGCCGCUUAACGGUAAAAUUGCCAUUGAUACUGAUAAGCUUGAAUACAA
rnacentral:rRNA from 1 species